rnacentral:rRNA from 1 species
AUUGAACGCUGGCGGCAUGCUUUACACAUGCAAGUCGAACGGUAGAGGGGGCAACCCCUUGAGAGUGGCGAACGGGUGAGUAAUGCAUUGGAACGUGCCCAGUCGUGGGGGAUAACGCAGCGAAAGCUGUGCUAAUACCGCACACGAUCUCUGGAUGAAAGCGGGGGACCGAAAGGCCUCGCGCGAUUGGAGCGGCCGAUGGCAGCUUAGGUAGUUGGUGGGGUAAAGGCUCACCAAGCCAACGAUCUGUAGCUGGUCUGAGAGGACGACCAGCCACACUGGGACUGAGACACGGCCCAGACUCCUACGGGAGGCAGCAGUGGGGAAUUUUGGACAAUGGGCGCAAGCCUGAUCCAGCAAUGCCGCGUGCAGGAAGAAGGCCUUCGGGUUGUAAACUGCUUUUGUACGGAGCGAAAAGGUCUCCUCUAAUACAGGGGGCUCAUGACGGUACCGUAAGAAUAAGCACCGGCUAACUACGUGCCAGCAGCCGCGGUAA